CCUACGGGUUGCAGCAGUGGGGAAUAUUGCACAAUGGGCGCAAGCCUGAUGCAGCCAUGCCGCGUGUAUGAAGAAGGCCUUCGGGUUGUAAAGUACUUUCAGCGGGGAGGAAGGUGUUGUGGUUAAUAACCGCAGCAAUUGACGUACCCGCAGAAGAAGCACCGGCUAACUCCGUGCCAGCAGCCGCGGUAAUACGGAGGGUGCAAGCGUUAAUCGGAAUUACUGGGCGUAAAGCGCACGCAGGCGGUCUGUCAAGUCGGAUGUGAAAUCCCCGGGCUCAACCUGGGAACUGCAUUCGAAACUGGCAGGCUAGAGUCUUGUAGAGGGGGGUAGAAUUCCAGGUGUAUCGGUGAAAUGCGUAGAGAUCUGGAGGAAUACCGGUGGCGAAGGCGGCCCCCUGGACAAGGACUGACGCUCAGGUGCGAAAGCGUGGGGAGCAAACAGGAUUAGAUACCCCAGUAGUC
rnacentral:rRNA from 1 species